ACGCUCGACACCUACGGAGGCAGCAGUGGGGAAUAUUGCACAAUGGGGGAAACCCUGAUGCAGCGACGCCGCGUGAAGGAAGAAGUAUCUCGGUAUGUAAACUUCUAUCAGCAGGGAAGAAAAUGACGGUACCUGACUAAGAAGCCCCGGCUAACUACGUGCCACAGCCGCGGUAAUCUGAGCGGGCGUGGCAAGGC
rnacentral:rRNA from 1 species